rnacentral:rRNA from 1 species
UACGUAGGGGGCUAGCGUUGUCCGGAAUCAUUGGGCGUAAAGAGCGUGUAGGCGGUCCGGUAAGUCCGCUGUGAAAGUCGGGGGCUCAACCCUCGAAUGCCGGUGGAUACUGUCGGGCUAGAGUGCGGAAGAGGCGAGUGGAAUUCCUGGUGUAGCGGUGAAAUGACGCAGAUAUCAGGAGGAACACCUAUGCGAAGGCAGCUCGCUGGGACGUUACUGACGCUGAGACGCGAAAGCGUGGGGAGCAAACAGG